rnacentral:rRNA from 1 species
CUUACGCCUGAACCAGCCAAGUCGCGUGAGGGAAGACUGCCCUAUGGGUUGUAAACCUCUUUUGUCAGGGAGCAACAACAUCUACGAGUAGGUGUUACGAGAGUACCUGAAGAAAAAGCAUCGGCUAACUCCGUGCC